GGUAAAGUGGCUGAGAUUUUAAGCGGUGGAUUGUAGUCCCAUAGACAGAGGUUUAAAUCCUCUCUUUAUCA
rnacentral:tRNA from 1 species